UACGGAGGGUGCGAGCGUUGUCCGGAAUGACUGGGCGUAAAGGGCGCGUAGGCGGAUGGCACAGUCAGAUGUGAAAUUCCCGGGCUUAACCUGGGGGCUGCAUUUGAUACGUGUUGUCUAGAGUGAGGAAGAGGGUUGUGGAAUUCCCAGUGUAGAGGUGAAAUUCGUAGAUAUCGGGAGGAACACCAGUGGCGAAGGCGGCGAUCUGGGAAGAUACUGACGCUGAGGUGCGAAAGCGUGGGGAGCAAACAGG
rnacentral:rRNA from 1 species